CACAGGCAGGCCGUACCUCGAAAUCCCAGCGGGGACACCUGUCAGGGAGACGCACCCUCACACCGCCCAUGCAUGCCCGACGCAUCUUUGGGAUCCUUAGGGAUCACGUGGUGCUUCCUUGAAUCUCCGCUUGAGGUUUCUUCAGGCAGGUUCGGCCUUGCCCGACUCCUAGGAUCGCAGGACCAUGGCGACGAUCCCGCGGAGAGGGGACGCACUGCCACAGACGCCUGGGGGCCAAGCCGCUGGGGCCAGUCCCCCGGCAACGGUGGCGGUUACUGUGACGCGAGUCCCCCCUCAGCGCUAGCGCCUGGUGAUCGCGCCUGGGCUCUUCCUGCGUCUCCAAGCUCAGGGGCUCCUGCUUCUCAGCACUGCUGUCUGGAAAAGGCGGGAACGAGGACUAAGGCAAGCCCAGUGUGGGGCAGAGAUGGCAACACCUGGAACUAGCUUUUCAUGGGGGCAGAUAAUGUGGAGAGUGUCCCAAUUACAUCUCCCUUUAUUCUAUCCCAUACUACUAAACCCCACCAGCUAUUUGCCUACAAACUGUGUAUCAGUCAGGACAUCAGGACACCAAGAUAAAGGACUAGAGUUUGGUAAUCAACUACUGGCUCCUCCAGCAGCUCAGAAUGUGGCCUGUAUGCAUCACUUCACUUAAUUCAUUCAAGAAAUGCUGACUGAGUUCCUGCUGUGUGUUGGACACUUUCUUAGAAGUGGGACACACUGCAGUGUGUGGGACAAAGGCUGGGCCGCUCAUUGCUUAUGUUCUAGUUGAAGAGAGAGUCAAUCAACAACAUUCUACUUUCAGACAUUGAUAAAUGCUGUCAUGAAAAGACAAGGAACAUGAAAAGGUAAGAAAAGGGAUGGAGAGAGAUGGGAUGAGGGGUGCCUGGGCAGACAAUGCAAUGAUCUGGCAAAAGAGUAGGACAAUCAUGAGACUGCAUGUGUUCCAGUUUCUGCUGCUGUAAAACAGCAUCCACAGGUUACAUCUUUACUAUUCUGUUACAUACAUACUAUUAUUUAAAUAAAAAAUAGUACUAGUUAACUGUGAAAAUUGCAAUUAAUAGGGCAGAUUAAACAAAUCCUUUAAAUUUAAACAAAUGUUUUAUGGUUUUUUAUCCUCUGAUACAUUGUUUCAACUUUAAAAAACCCUCUUUAUUUGAUAUUUAAACUCUAUAUUAAUGUAUAUUCUUAAGAUACAUAAAUUUAAGAUUUUUUUCGAGACAGGGUCUCAUUCUGUCACACAGUCUGGAGUGCUGUGGUGCAAUUAUGGUUCACUGCAGACUCCACCUCUCCAGGCUCAGAUAAUCCUCCUGCCUCAGACUCCUGAGUAUCUGGGACCACAGGUGUGCAUCACCACACCCAGCUAAUUUCUUGUAUUUUUUUGUUGGGAUGGGGUUUUGCGAUGUUGCCCAGGCUGGUCUCAAACUCCUGGGCUCAAGUGAUCUGCCUGCCUUGGUGUCUCAAAGUGUUGGGAUCACAGGCGUGAGCCACCACAUCCAGCCUAAUUUAAGAUUUUUAAAAAGCAGAAUGUAAAUAUGGUCAUGCAUUGUGUAAUUCUGUGGAUACUUUCUGAGUAAUGCAUGGUUAGGUGACUUCAUCAUUAUGUGAACAUUAUAGAGUGUACAUACACAAACCUAGAUGAUGUAGCCUGAUGGUACAGCCUAUCACUUCGAGGCUACAAAUCCAAAUUGCCUGGAUACUGUAAACAAUUAUACUCAAUGGUAUUUGUGUAUCUAAACAUGUCUAAACAUAGAAAGGGUACAGUAAAAAUAUGGUAUAAAAGAUAAGAAAUCGUAUACCGGUAUACAGCACUUACCGUGGAUGGAGCUUGCAAGACUGGAAGUUACUCCGGGUGAGUCAGUGACUGAGCGGUGAGUGAAUGUGAAGGCUAGGGCAGUACUGUAUACUACUGUAGACUUUAUAUGUACUGUAUGCUUAGGCUACACUAAAUUUAUUUGAAUUUUUUUGUCGGUAAUAAAUUAACCUUAGCUUACUAUAAUUUCUUUAUAAACCUUUUAAUUUUUAAAAAUGUUUUGACUCUCUUGUAAUAAAUUAGCUUCAAACACAUUGUA
rnacentral:lncRNA from 1 species